UACGGGGGGGGCAAGCGUUGUUCGGAAUUACUGGGCGUAAAGGGCUCGUAGGUGGCCAACUAAGUCAGACGUGAAAUCCCUCAGCUUAACUGGGGAACUGCGUCUGAUACUGGAUGGCUUGAGUUUGGGAGAGGGACGCGGAAUUCCAGGUGUAGCGGUGAAAUGCGUAGAUAUUGGGAGGAACACCAGUGGCGAAGGCGGCUCACUGGACCGGAACUGACGCUGAGGCGCGAAAGCGUGGGGAGCAAACAGG
rnacentral:rRNA from 1 species